rnacentral:rRNA from 1 species
GAUGAACGCUAGCGGGAGGCCUAACACAUGCAAGCCGAGCGGUAUUGUUUCUUCGGAAAUGAGAGAGCGGCGUACGGGUGCGUAACACGUGUGCAACCUGCCUUUAUCUGGGGGAUAGCCUUUCGAAAGGAAGAUUAAUACUCCAUAAUAUAUUGAACGGCAUCGUUUAAUAUUGAAAGCUCCGGCGGAUAGAGAUGGGCACGCGCAAGAUUAGCUAGUUGGUGAGGUAACGGCUCACCAAGGCGAUGAUCUUUAGGGGGCCUGAGAGGGUGAUCCCCCACACUGGUACUGAGACACGGACCAGACUCCUACGGGAGGCAGCAGUGAGGAAUAUUGGUCAAUGGGUGCAAGCCUGAACCAGCCAUCCCGCGUGAAGGACGACUGCCCUAUGGGUUGUAAACUUCUUUUGUAUAGGGAUAAACCUACCCUCGAGAGGGUAGCUGAAGGUACUAUACGAAUAAGCACCGGCUAACUCCGCG